rnacentral:piRNA from 1 species
UACUCCAUCAUACCAAAUUGUGUUGAUUUC